GGUUAUGAAAAUGUUUUUGAGUUUAAACUUUUACAUAUAAAGCCUAGAUUGUUUUUAGUAACAAUAUUCCUCAAAAGUUUAAGUAAUAUCUGGCAAAAUAGCAUAGAAAAAAGAGGGCUCUGUGGAAUCUGAAUUGUAAAUAUCUUGCUAUAAUUUAUUAAUGUUAGUGACAUCCCAUUGGCCAUUUGACUAAACUUGUUAAAAAAAUGCAAAAAAUGAGAAAUUUCCAUGUAAAUUAAACUCAAUGACAGAAUCAUGGAACUGAAUUUGAAGAGUCCAUUUAGAUUAUUAUGUCAAGGUCUUUCUAAAAAGGCAAUUACUUUUCUUUUUAACAUUGGCCAUAGAGCCUACUAAAAAAUAGCUACUUUCAUUUAAUCAUAAAUAAUGCCCAAAUUCUGAUUAAUAUUAAAUCAUGAUUACAAAUCAAUCCUCCUAGUUUUCUGAAGAUAAUCAUAAUGCUAGGGAAAUGGAAAAAAAAGAAAAGGAUGACCAGCACCCAAAUGGGUGGAUUCAGUUUUGGUGGCUAGGGGUGAAAGACCUGAAGAAACAAAUUAUGUGCCUUUAAGUCAAUUUGUUUUAUUUGUACAGUUGCAGGCCAAUCAAUCAUGGACAGAUUCAGCCUUUUUCUACCUCUUACCAACCUGUGGUUACUUUACCUACAAACAGUCUUGCUGCUUUUCUACUGAUAUCUACUGUCUCUGAAAUUGUUUCAGCUCAUUUGGCAUCCUCCCAGUCUGGAUCAUAUAAGGAGGCUAAACAUAAACCUUGGUUUAGCAAUCAUGGUAGCAAAGUUCAAAUAAUAUGCUAACCCCUAAGACAAGGAGUAUUCCAGGAAUAAUUCUCUCUCAUUUUGGACAUUUCCUGUUAAUUUUGUUUCACCUACAUAGUUUCUAGAUUGUUUUUCUACCUGCCUUACAAUAUAAAAAAUAUUUCCCUGUUUUGUCUUUGUAUUUAGGCAGAUAUGUGUGUAGAUUUAACUCUAUCAAAUCAGUCUGGUGUACAAUGAGUUAUUUUAUAUUUAAGAUGCUGUAAGGCAAAAAAAUAUUUUACUAUAAGAAAAAGUAAUAAUAAAAGAAAACAGCUGUGGGGAUAUUCAUAAAGAAUAAUGUAAGUGAAAUGUGUGCAGAAACAAGGGAUAACAGAACUCUCUAAGACAAAUCAGGAUUGAAAACAAACAACCAAGGAACAAAUCUUUCUCACUUAGUUCUAAUUACUGUACUGAAAUUUCUUAUGAAAAAAUUAAAGAGAUAGCAUAAAAAUCAGAGAGUACAGCUAGUAUGUUGUGGAUAAUCUCACAAAAUGGCUGACUACCAACGGUUUGAGCCAGUCAUGCAUUACCUAUUUCCAGGUUAUGAGGAGAAUUUUCCCUUGGGAUGCCAUACACUAUCUGCUUUGCAUUCCCCCCACACACACACACAAACACAUACACACACUAAAGAUGGAUUUAUUUCCAGACAUACUGGAUUGCAGCCAUUUUUUUUUCUAAAACUAUGCAAUUUCAGAGACAUCACUAAAAAUUAUACAAAACAUUUUUGAAGUAUACCAGCUUUGUAACUAAUUAUUUAAUUUAAAACAUAAUUUACAAGAAGUCAGAGGGACAGAGAACUCAGCAAGCGUCAUGAUCCAUUCUAAAGCCUGGAAUAGAAUAGAGUAUUAUUUUUAUGUCAUUCUGAACCAAUACUUGCAACUUGAGAUUUUCAGAAAUCUGCUUUACCUGUGCAUGUGAAUUCAGUCAAUAUCUACUGGUGUUUAGGUUUUAAUGUAUCGCAAUUUGAAAUAGGAAUUUCAUAUUGACAUUUAAAUGUUUAAUGCUGGAUAUAUGGAUAUUGACUACAGUUUUAUAAGUUCAGUGCCCUAGAGCAAUAGAUUCCUUUACAGUGCAAGCAGCUCCUGCAUUCUGAAUUGUCAUAUGAUAAUACAAGUAUCUUCUUAUAAAUUUCAGUCCCAGAUUCAUCUGCAAUGAGUAGUUGUUUCCUCACCAAGUUUCCUUGGGAUUUAAUUAAGGUGACCAACUUUUUUACAAUGAAAAGGAGGACACAAAUAAAUUGAAGAAAAAAAUAUCGUAAAUAAAAGAAACAUUUUAUUCAUUGCAACAAUAAUACAGACAAUUUGCAUGUGCAAAGUCUGCCAGCCGGGUAUUUUGGCACGCUCAGUAGCAAUUCCUAUUGGCUUUCAAAAGCCAAUAGUGGGAGUAGCACAGCUCAUGCAAAAGUUGAAAAAAAAAAACAUCAAAAAAAGGUGCCGGAAUGACGUUCUGAGCGUUCUAUGAGGGGAAAA